AAAACACUAAGAAGGCUCAACACAACAUGAAACUUUGCUCCAAAGCUCCUAAAGCUUAGCUUCAUAUAAAUGCACGGAUAAUUUGUUGAUUUGUCUUUAGUAAAAAACAAUAAUGACCUUGUAGUUG